rnacentral:tRNA from 1 species
GUCCUCGUAGUUAAAUGGAUAUAACUGCCCCGUCCUAAGGGGCCAUUGCUGGUUCGAUUCCAACCGAGGACA